rnacentral:rRNA from 1 species
UAGGGAAUCUUCGGCAAUGGACGAAAGUCUGACCGAGCAACGCCGCGUGAGUGAAGAAGGUUUUCGGAUCGUAAAACUCUGUUGUUAGAGAAGAACAAGGACGUUAGUAACUGAACGUCCCCUGACGGUAUCUAACCAGAAAGCCACGGCUAACUACGUGCCAGCAGCCGCGGUAAUACGUAGGUGGCAAGCGUUGUCCGGAUUUAUUGGGCGUAAAGCGAGCGCAGGCGGUUUCUUAAGUCUGAUGUGAAAGCCCCCGGCUCAACCGGGGAGGGUCAUUGGAAACUGGGAGACUUGAGUGCAGAAGAGGAGAGUGGAAUUCCAUGGGUAGCGGUGAAAUGCGUAGAUAUAUGGAGGAACACCAGUGGCGAAGGCGGCUCUCUGGUCUGUAACUGACGCUGAGGCUAGAAAGCGUGGGGAGCAAACAGG